AGCAACCCGCGGGAUAGCGAAUCAUCGUCAAGCUUAACCGGUCAGGGAUUCAUUGCACUGCCCCAUUCAGCCCCACUAAUCUAUCUAGGCACCCCUAAAUUCCGGGGAAUAGAUUUAAAAACUAUCCGAUUAGGACACCCCGGGCCUAGCGAGGACCUAGGUGAGACGAGGCCUAGGCGCCCUUAAUAGGUGGUUAGUGCAAGCAAGGCCGUGACAGCCAAUUGGUAGGCUGGAAUGCCGAGAUUGGCAGCCGGAAGGUCGGGGGGGAACCCGGGUGGGCGGCGGUGCUCUAGGGGGAAUGAUAACCCCUAGAGUGGCCCGAGAGGACAGAGGCGGCGGCCGGUUAUAUAGGGUGUUAAAAUAUGUAUAUAGCUCAAGGUGUAAACUGCAGG
rnacentral:sRNA from 1 species